ensembl:lincRNA
AUGUACUCCUUUCCUGAUUUGGAACCAGUCUGUUGUUCCACAUCCAGUUCUAACUGUUGCUUCUUGACCUGCAUACAGAUUUCUCAGGAGGCAGGUCAGGUGGUCUGGUAUUCCCAUCUCUUUCAGAAUUUUCCACAGUUUAUUGUGAUCCACACAGUCAAAGGCUUUGGCAUAGUCAAUAAAGCAGAAAUAGAUGUUUUUCUGGAACUCUCUUGCUUUUUCCAUGAUCCAGCGGAUGUUGGCAAUUUGAUCUCUGGUUCCUCUGCCUUUUCUAAAACCAGCUUGAACAUCAGGAAGUUCACGGUUCACGUAUUGCUGAAGCCUGGCUUGGAGAAUUUUGAGCAUUACUUUACUAGCAUGUGAGAUGAGUGCAAUUGUGCAGUAGUUUGAGCAUUCUUUGGCAUUGCCUUUCUUUGGGAUUGGAAUGAAAACUGACCUUUUCCAGUCCUGUGGCCACUGCUGAGUUUUCCAAAUUUGCUGGCAUAUUGAGUGCAGCACUUUCACAGCAUCAUCUUUCAGGAUUUGAAACAGCUCAACUGGAAUUCCAUCACCUCCACUAGCUUUGUUCGUAGUGAUGCUUUCUAAGGCCCACUUGACUUCACAUUCCAAGAUGUCUGGCUCUAGAUUAGUGAUCACAUCAUCAUGAUUAUCUGGGUCGUGAAGAUCUUUUUUGUACAGUUCUUCUGUGUAUUCUUGCCACCUCUUCUUAAUAUCUUCUGCUUCUGUUAGGUCCAUACCAUUUCUGUCCUUUAUCGAGCCCAUCUUUGCAUGAAAUGUUCCCUUGGUAUCUCUAAUUUUCUUGAAGAGAUCUCUAGUCUUUCCCAUUCUGUUGUUUUCCUCUAUUUCUUUGCAUUGAUCACUGAAGAAGGCUUUCUUAUCUCUUCUUGCUAUUCUUUGGAACUCUGCAUUCAGAUGCUUAUAUCUUUCCUUUUCUCCUUUGCUUUUCACCUCUCUUCUUUUCACAGCUAUUUGUAAGGCCUCCCCAGACAGCCAUUUUGCUUUUUUGCAUUUCUUUUCCAUGGGGAUGGUCUUGAUCCCUGUCUCCUGUACAAUGUCACGAACCUCAUUCCAUAGUUCAUCAGGCACUCUAUCUAUCAGAUCUAGGCCCUUAAAUCUAUUUCUCACUUCCACUGUAUAAUCAUAAGGGAUUUGAUUUAGGUCAUACCUGAAUGGUCUAGUGGUUUUCCCUACUUUCUUCAAUUUAAGUCUGAAUUUGGCAAUAAGGAGUUCAUGAUCUGAGCCACAGUCAGCUCCUGGUCUUGUUUUUGUUGACUGUAUAGAGCUUCUCCAUCUUUGGCUGCAAAGAAUAUAAUCAAUCUGAUUUCGGUGUUGACCAUCUGGUGAUGUCCAUGUGUAGAGUCUUCUCUUGUGUUGUUGGAAGAGGGUGUUUGCUAUGACCAGUGCCUUUUCUUGGCAAAACUCUAUUAGUCUUUGCCCUGCUUCAUUCUGUAUUCCAAGGCCAAAUUUGCCUAUUACUCCAGGUGUUUCUUGACUUCCUACUUUUGCAUACCAGUCCCCUAUAAUGAAAAGGACAUCGUUUUUGGGGUGUUAGUUCUAAAAGGUCUUGUAGGUCUUCAUAGAACCGUUCAACUUCAGCUUCUUCAGCAUUACUGGUUGGGACAUAGACUUGGAUAACUGUGAUAUUGAAUGGUUUGCCUUGGAGAUAAACAGAUAUCAUUCUAUCGUUUUUGAGAUUGCAUCUAAGUACUGCAUUUCAGACUCUUUUGUUGAUCAUGAUGGCUACUCCAUUUCUUCUGAGGGAUUCCUGCCUGCAGUAGUAGAUAUAAUGGUCAUCUGAGUUAAAUUCACCCAUUCCUGUCCAUUUAGUUCACUGAUUCCUGGAAUGUCGACAUUCACCCUUUCCGUCUCUUUUCGAGCACUUCCAAUUUGCCUUGAUUCAUGGACCUGACCUUCCAGGUUCCUAUGCAAUAUUGCUCUUUACAAAUCGGAUCUUGCUUCUAUCACCAGUCACAUCCACAGCUGGGUUUUGUUUUUGCUUUGGCUGCAUCCCUUCAUUCUUUCUGGAGUUAUUUCUCCUCUGAUCUCCAGUAGCAUAACAUGACCCACCCGUCUUGAGUUGCCCCUCUGGCAUGGCUUGGUUUCAUUGAGUUAGACAGGCUGUGGUCCUAGUGUGAUUAGAUUGACUAGUUUUCUGUGAGUAUGGUUUCAGUGUGUCUGCCCUCUGAUGCCCUCUUGCAACAUCUACCAUCUUUCUUGGGUUUCUCUUACCUUGGGCAUGGGGUAUCUCUUCACAGCUUCUCCAGCAAAGUGCAGCUUCUGCUCCUUACCUUGGACAAGGGGUAUCUCCUGAACCAUAAACUUCCAGAUGUUCAAGCUGGAUUUAGAAAAGUCAGAGGAACCAUAGAUCAAAUUGCCAACAUCUGUUGGAACAUCGAAAAAGCAAGAGAGUUGCAAAAAGUAUCUUCUUUUGCUUUAUUGACUAUGCCAAUGCCUUUGACCUUGUGGAUCACAAAAAAACUGUGAAAAAUUCUUAGAGAAAUGGGAACAACAGACCACCUUACUUGCCUCCUGAGAAAUCUGUAUGCAAGUGAAAAAGGAACAGUUAGCAAUGGACAUGGAAAAACUGACUGGUUCCAAACUGGAAAAGGAGUAUGUCAAGGCUGCAUAUUGUCACCCUGAUUAUUUAACUUAUAUGCAGAGUACAUCAUGGGAAAUGCCAGGCUGGAUGAAGCACAAGCAGGAAUCAUGAUUGCUGGGAGAAAUAUCAAUAACCUCAAAUAUGCAUACGAUACCACCCUUAUGGCAAAAAGUGAAGAACAAUGAAACAGCCUCUUGAUGAAAGUGAAAGAGGGGAGUGAAAAAGCUGGCUUAAAAGUCGAAAUUCAGGAAACUAAGAUCAUGCCAUCUGCUCCCAUCACUUCAUGGCAACUAUAUGGGGAACCAAAGGAAACAGUGAGAGACUUUAUUUUGGGGGGC